AACAAUCAAUUGCGUGAUGAGCUGCGGUUUCAACGUGAAGAGCUAAAUUCUCAGAAGAAAACUGUUGAGGAACAAAGUGUUGAUAUGGAAUGUUUGAUGGACCAGAAGCUGGAGGAAACAAUGAAUAGAAUGCUGGCUCACAUGGGCGCUGCUGGUGCUGCUUCUUCCAUUCCUUCAUCCUUUACAAGUACAACAACCAACUAGGAUGUGGGAAAUCGACAACAUAUCACUUUCAUCUAGGCGAGCAUCCGAUGAGUCAGCAUCGAUAUUAUCUUCAAUUCUUCAUUUAGAUGUCAUUUUGAUUUAUAUAUUUAGAUCAAAGUGCUCUUUCUGUUUGAGCACAUUUUUCUUUCUACAAUAAAGGGUAUUUUUUUCAGAGUUAUAAAGGGUAGUUGGAGUACUGCUAGUGCUCAUUUAUGUGUACUGCAUUUUGCUCUACACUUUUCUUAUAGCAUUGUAAUCUUUCAUCAAUAAAGGAUGCUCUGAAAUCGAUAUUUCAUAUGUUCUA